GACGAACGCUGGCGGCGUGCUUAACACAUGCAAGUCGAACGGAAAGGCCCUGCUUUUGUGGGGUGCUCGAGUGGCGAACGGGUGAGUAACACGUGAGUAACCUGCCCUUGACUUUGGGAUAACUUCAGGAAACUGGGGCUAAUACCGGAUAGGAGCUCCUGCUGCAUGGUGGGGGUUGGAAAGUUUCGGCGGUUGGGGAUGGACUCGCGGCUUAUCCGCUUGUUGGUGGGGUAGUGGCUUACCAAGGCUUUGACGGGUAGCCGGCCUGAGAGGGUUACCGGCCACAUUGGGACUGAGAUACGGCCCAGACUCCUACGGGAGGCAGCAGUGGGGAAUAUUGCACAAUGGGCGGAAGCCUGAUGCAGCAACGCCGCGUGCGGGAUGACGGCCUUCGGGUUGUAAACCGCUUUCGCCUGUGACGAAGCGUGAGUGACGGUAAUGGGUAAAGAAGCACCGGCUAACUACGUG
rnacentral:rRNA from 1 species